UAUCCGCUCCCUUUCAUAACUUUUUUUAUUUUCUCUUUCAAUCUUUUCAUCGUUCAUUACAAGAAAACGCUGAUUGUGGUUCUCAGUUGUGAAACAAUUGAGAAUGUUAAUGACAAAAUUUAGUCCAGGUAUGUGCAACUCAAGGGUUAGUUGACCAUUAUAUUGUGUGUGCGUAGUCAUAACGAUUUUCUUCUUCGUCCUGAUAAUAUCUCACGCAAGUUACCAAUGCAUGCCUUCUUGGAAACAACUUAGAAGUGGCUGGGGUUUUAUCAAACUGCUCAUUUUAUAUGGGAUCUUUAUACAUGCAGAUUGUGAGGAUAAAUCUUUCUCCUACAAGAGAGUUGGCAUCACAGAUGUACUAUGGUGCUAAGUUACCAAAUGUUAGACAAGGUGAAGUAAGUGUAAGAGCUUAUACGAAUAAGAAAAUUGGGGAGGAAGGAGCAAACUUGAUUAUAGGCACGCCUGGGAGGAUUUACGACAGUAUGAAUCGCAUGCAGAUUUUAGAUUACAUAAGC